CAGGAUGAACGCGUGGCGGCGUGCUUAACACAUGCAAGUCGAACGGGUUACUCGCUGAAGCGAGCUUGCUCAAUUCUGAGUAAACCUAGUGGCGGACGGGUGAGUAACGCGUGGGUAACCUGCCAUGUACGUGGGGGAACAACGAGUUGGAAACGACUGCUAAUACCGCAUAAGCGCACGGUAUCGCAUGAUACAGUGUGAAAAAACUGAGGUGGUACAGGAUGGCUCCGCGUUGGAUUAGCCAGUUGCGGGUAACGGCCCACCAAAGCGACGAUCCAUAGCCGGCCUGAGAGGGUGAACGGCCACAUUGGGACUGAGACACGGCCCAGACUCCUACGGGAGGCAGCAGUGGGGAAUAUUUGCACAAUGGGGGAAACCCUGAUGCAAGCGACGCCGCGUGAAGGAAGGAAGUAUCUCGGUUAUGUAAACUUCUAUCAGCAAGGGAAGAUGAUGACGGUAACCUGACUAAGAAGCCCCGGCUAACUACGUGCCAGCCGCCGC
rnacentral:rRNA from 1 species